CAUUUGUUCUCUAAAUAAGGACUUGUAUGAACGGCCACACGAGGGUUUUACUGUCUCUUACUUCCAAUCAGUGAAAUUGACCUUCCCGUGAAGAGGCGGGAAUAAAUUAACAAGACGAGAAGACCCUAUGGAGCUUUAACUAACUAGCCCAAAAAGAAAUAUACUUAACCACCAAGGGAUAACAAUACCCUUUAUGGACUAGCAGUUUUGGUUGGGGUGACCUCGGAGAACAAGAAAACCUCCGAGCGAUUUUAAAAACUAGACCUACAAGUCAAACCAAAUUAUCGCUUAUUGAUCCAAAAUAUUUGAUCAACGGAACAAGUUACCCUAGGGAUAACAGCGCA
rnacentral:rRNA from 1 species